rnacentral:rRNA from 1 species
AUGGCUGGAUUUUGGAUGGGUGAGGGGACCCAGGAGCGGAUGGAUCUAUGGCUGACCCGGGCCUUGGUCCUUUUGAGCUUCGCGGCGCAUCUUACCCUGGCCCAAUUAGCUGGGAUCCGUCGGCGUAGGGACUCCGGCAUGCAGAUAUCUCUGGUGUGGGUAGCAUACCACGUGACCGAGAUAAUCACGCCAAUCGCACUCGGCAAGGUGUUUCUCGACACCGCGACCGCGGUUAGCGAGCAUGUGAUGUUUGCAUUUUGGGCGCCAUUUCUCCUCCUCCACCUUGGUCGCCCGGACAACAUCACCAGCUAUGCUUUGGAGAACAAGGAACUGUCACCAACCCAAAAGGCUGCUCUCGUCCUUGAAAUUGGAGGAGCUAUCUAUGGCUCAUACAAGCAAAGAUUUAUGCGCCACGACAGGGCUCUGUGCGCCGCCUUCUUCAUCAUGCUCUUCUUUGGUUCCUAUAAGUAUGUGGAGAGAGCAGUUGCGCUACGGAGAGCUUCCUUUGACAACAUUCGCCGCUCAAACAAGAAAAAGUUUAUACGGCGCUUAACUUUUGAGGACCAGGGUCGUAAGAGGGAUAAUGAUGACGCCCUGCUUGAUGCUCACGGCCUUCUCGGUGUCACCAUGGCUGCCUUCGCUGACUAUCAAGUUGACCGCAGGACGUAUGUCCCAUCUUAUUCUUGUUGGAGGGAUGUGAGCAAGGUGGUGGAGAUGGAGGCGUCCCUCAUGUACGACAUGUUGUACACCAAAUCAAGUGUGAUCCACACUUUGGGUGGUUACAUCAUCCGUGUCCUCUCGCCGCCCGCCACCGCCACGGCACUCUAUCUCUUCCACAGUUAUGACGGCCUGGCCAUGGAGAGGGCAGAUCGGAUGGUCACAUACACCUUGCUUAUUGGUACCCUAAUGUUGGAUGUGAGAUGGCUGCUGAGAGCACUAGGGUCCACCUGGACAUAUGCCUUCUUGAUAUCCAAGAAAGGAGGCGGUCGGGCUGUGAUGCAACCAUGGUAUUUGCUCCGGCGCAUCCUCAUCUCUCUGGAUCCGUCCCGGCUGUCACUGAGAAGUGGCCCAAGUGGCCACAGGUUGUUGCCGGGCUCGGGUAUCGGACAGCGCAACUUGUUGCACGAGUGCAGUACUCCUCAAGUUAAGAAAAAGAAGAUGAUUGAUGUCAAGGAUGAGUUGUCUCAAGCUCUGUGCGAAUAUCUAGUGUUGAAUUUGGACAGAAUAUUCGAGAGCCGUUACACAACCACAGUGGAACUCGCUGAUUAUAUGAGGGAUAAUGCCAGGAGCUGUAGUUUUGAAAGGAACCUCAUCGCAUUCCACGUCGCCACGGACAUUUUCCUCCUGUGCAGGCCGACGUCGUCAGGGAUAGGAAGUGAAGCAUCAGCCAAAUACGAGAGGCAGAUUCGAGCGCUAUCAGAUUACAUGAUGUUUCUCCUCGCUCAACGCCAGCACAUGGUAUUGCCACCGGGUGAUGAGGGCGGCGAGUACAAAAAGGUUCGCCUUCAUUUGAAGAAAAUAUGGCGUGAAAUUGAAGUAUGGCGUGAAAGACGAACCGGCGAUUCACAGACAACAAGAGAGACUGAGCUUGCCUACAUCCUCCUAGAGAUGCAUGAGCCUCUGUACAGUAGUUCUUCUGACAUAAGACGAUACAAUAUUCCAGUCGCGUUUGGUGCUUAUUUGGCCGACAGGCUAUUAGAUGCACUGGGACCGGGAAUAUAUGGUACUGACGAGGACAGUCGCAGACUUGCAGGUUUCAUUCUGGUAUUCACCGAUGAGGCACAAACAAAAAUUAAAGAGCAUAGGGACUGCGGGGAACAAUCAAAACUCCUCAAUUAUUUGUUGAAGCUCAUUCUUGCUUCAUGGGUACGUCUUCUCACCUUCACGUCCGACCAAUGCAGCAGUGAUUCCCAUGCAAAACAGCUCAGCUGCGGUGGUGAGCUGUUAACCAUCGCCUGGCUGAUGAAACGACACACAACUAUUGUUUCCAAGCGAAUAAACUGA